ACGCUCGACACCUACGGGAGACAGCAGUGGGGAAUAUUGCACAAUGGGGGAAACCCUGAUGCAGCGACGCCGCGUGAGUGAAGAAGUAUUUCGGUAUGUAAAGCUCUAUCAGCAGGGAAGAAAAUGACGGUACCUGAGUAAGAAGCCUCGGCUAACUACGUGCCAGUAGCCGCGGUAAUCUGAGCGGGCUGGCAAGGC
rnacentral:rRNA from 1 species